rnacentral:rRNA from 1 species
UGUGAGGCAUGCUGGAGGUAUCAGAAGUGCGAAUGCUGACAUAAGUAACGAUAAAGCGGGUGAAAAGCCCGCUCGCCGGAAGACCAAGGGUUCCUGUCCAACGUUAAUCGGGGCAGGGUGAGUCGACCCCUAAGGCGAGGCCGAAAGGCGUAGUCGAUGGGAAACAGGUUAAUAUUCCUGUACUUAGUGUUACUGCGAAGGGGGGACGGAGAAGGCUAUGUUAGCCGGGCGACGGUUGUCCCGGUUUAAGCAUGUAGGCUGGUUAUCCAGGCAAAUCCGGAUAAUCAAGGCUGAGGUGUGAUGACGAGGCACUACGGUGCUGAAGUAACAAAUGCCCUGCUUCCAGGAAAAGCCUCUAAGCAUCAGGUAACAUCAAAUCGUACCCCAAACCGACACAGGUGGUCAGGUAGAGAAUACCAAGGCGCUUGAGAGAACUCGGGUGAAGGAACUAGGCAAAAUGGUGCCGUAACUUCGGGAGAAGGCACGCUGGUGUGUAGGUGAAGCCCCUGCGGGUGGAGCUGAGACCAGUCGAAGAUACCAGCUGGCUGCAACUGUUUAUUAAAAACACAGCACUGUGCAAACACGAAAGUGGACGUAUACGGUGUGACGCCUGCCCGGUGCCGGAAGGUUAAUUGAUGGGGUUAUCCGUAAGGAGAAGCUCUUGAUCGAAGCCCCGGUAAACGGCGGCCGUAACUAUAACGGUCCUAAGGUAGCGAAAUUCCUUGUCGGGUAAGUUCCGACCUGCACGAAUGGCGUAAUGAUGGCCAGGCUGUCUCCACCCGAGACUCAGUGAAAUUGAACUCGCUGUGAAGAUGCAGUGUACCCGCGGCAAGACGGAAAGACCCCGUGAACCUUUACUAUAGCUUGACACUGAACAUUGAGCCUUGAUGUGUAGGAUAGGUGGGAGGCUUUGAAGCGUGGACGCCAGUCUGCGUGGAGCCAACCUUGAAAUACCACCCUUUAAUGUUUGAUGUUCUAACGUUGGCCCCUGACCGGGGUUGCGGACAGUGUCUGGUGGGUAGUUUGACUGGGGCGGUCUCCUCCCAAAGCGUAACGGAGGAGCACGAAGGUUAGCUAAUCCUGGUCGGACAUCAGGAGGUUAGUGCAAUGGCAUAAGCUAGCUUGACUGCGAGCGUGACGGCGCGAGCAGGUGCGAAAGCAGGUCAUAGUGAUCCGGUGGUUCUGAAUGGAAGGGCCAUCGCUCAACGGAUAAAAGGUACUCCGGGGAUAACAGGCUGAUACCGCCCAAGAGUUCAUAUCGACGGCGGUGUUUGGCACCUCGAUGUCGGCUCAUCACAUCCUGGGGCUGAAGUAGGUCCCAAGGGUAUGGCUGUUCGCCAUUUAAAGUGGUACGCGAGCUGGGUUUAGAACGUCGUGAGACAGUUCGGUCCCUAUCUGCCGUGGGCGCUGGAGAAUUGAGGGGGGCUGCUCCUAGUACGAGAGGACCGGAGUGGACGCAUCACUGGUGUUCGGGUUGUCAUGCCAAUGGCACUGCCCGGUAGCUAAAUGCGGAAGAGAUAAGUGCUGAAAGCAUCUAAGCACGAAACUUGCCCCGAGAUGAGUUCU